AGAGUUUGAUCCUGGCUCAGAGCGAACGUUAGCGGCGGGCCUAACACAUGCAAGUCGAGCGAGAAAGGGGCUUCGGCCCUGAGUAAAGCGGCGCACGGGUGAGUAACACGUGGGUCAUCUGCCCUCCAGCGGGGGAUAGCCGUCCGAAAGGACAAUUAAUACCGCAUACGUCGUCUGGGACUUCGGACCUGGACGGGAAAGCCGGCUUCUUGCUGGCACUGGAGGAGGAGCCCGCGGCCCAUCAGCUAGUUGGUAGGGUAAUGGCCUACCAAGGCGAAGACGGGUAGCUGGUCUGAGAGGAUGAUCAGCCACACUGGGACGGAGACACGGCCCAGACUCCUACGGGAGGCAGCAGUGGGGAAUAUUGGGCAAUGGGCGCAAGCCUGACCCAGCCACGCCGCGUGAGUGACGAAGGCCUUCGGGUCGUAAAGCUCUGUGGGGAGGGAAGAAAAAACGCUGGCUAAUAUCCAGCGGACUGACGGUACCUCCUUAGAAAGCACCGGCUAACUCCGUGCCAGCAGCCGCGGUAAUUC
rnacentral:rRNA from 1 species